rnacentral:sRNA from 1 species
UCCUAGCCCUGAUAGUAACGGUUACCCCACAGCAGGAGUGGGAGAGCAAGGCUUAAGCGUUGGGAUAGAAAGGCGCGAGGAGUAUGAGUGGAUAGCAGGAUUAAGC